CCGAAAUCCUGGUCCAUGGACUUGAAGAAGAACUUGUAGCUGUGCACGGGCCGGUUGCUGAGGACAUUUUUGAAAUCGGCCAGAGUGACUUUUUCCGGCGGGACGGGCAGCUUCACCAGGAAUUAGUAAAUGCUUUCCGGGCACAAACCCCUGGGCACCGCACAGAGGUGGUCGGCGUCCUUAUUCCCCUAACAGCAGGAAAAGGGAGAAAGAGGACAUUCACUUCUUGGAAUAUUCAGCUGCUUUCCGUGAAGGGGUAAAUCACAGCUCAGUGACAGGAUUACCUGUGGCACUGGAAUGGUUUUUCUACCAGCACGAAUCAGAGGAGCCAGUCGUGUCAGAGGCUGCCAAAAGACACGUGCUACGGUUCUGAAAGCACCUGAGAAUACUCUUGGUAUGGAAAGUAUGGCUUGAAUCCACCAACUCUUCUGCACACAAGAAUCUCUGAGCAAGACUGGGGAAGGCUUCCUUUGGCAGGAUUAUAAGGUAACUCUAGUACAAGGUAAAUUUUCUGAGAUACUGAGAUUUAUGUAGUUUUUGCAGUAUGAAACUCAGGCAAAAUAUUAACGUUCAACCCUUUGGUCUCUUCAGUUCAUACUUAACGACCUCCUGAAUUCCUCAGAGACCCAGGUGGUAUCCACACAAAGACUAAAUCUGCAAAGAGCUCUGUUCUUGCUCUAUUCGCUUUGCUUUUACCUUUGACAACUGAAAAUAUAAUGAGUUGUAUAAUUGUCAGAUGACUACCUUGGAACAGACAUGGUAAGACUGGCUCUAUGACUCACAAAAAGCUUUCUGUGUCCCCAUCAAGCACAGAAGAGAGGAGAUAACCCGCUUUCAUGUUACAGUCAAACCACAAGCUAAUCCAAUUAAAGAGCAGACAUAGGAAUGCAGAAUACACCACCUUUGCAAACCACUGGUCCAUCAGGGCUAAUAUCUUGCUUCUUGCGGAGUUCAUGCCUUAACACUUCUGUGGAAAGUAAAUAUAAGGCAUAAAAUCUCUUGCUAUUAGUGCUGUGCUCUCCCUGCUAGAGCAAACAGUCUUGCUGACCCCUGCAGGGAGCAGAUAGUGCCCUGAGGCAUAAAAGCCGCUCACCCUUUUCUUCAUUUAUAUAGCAGUGCACUUCAUUACCACGGAGAGAAUAACCAAGCCCUUUUACAAAGCCAUCCUUUGAAUUAUAGUGAUGGUUGUUGUUUGUCUCGGUGAAUUCAAAAAGCAUAUCACACUCUGGGUGCUUAGCAAAUAAGUAUUUGUUUAAAGAGAUAUGACAAAAAGAAAACCAAAGCUCUGAGCACUCUGACACUCACCAAAGCUGUGACUUGGGACCCACUCUGAGCUUUCGUAGGUAUUUUUAAUCCACCUGCAAGAAUGUGUUUGUAAAAGAACAAAAUCACCUUUUACUUGGCGGAUUAUUCCUUGUCAAGAGUCAGUCGCCAGCAGUUUUGCUACUCACGUCAAUGGAAUCAGGUUUGACUACGAGUGCUUUCAUUUGGGUAGUCAACCCUGGGAAAUGAAGGCUUCCGUCUUCAUUUGUUCCAGCAACACAGCAGGAUCAAUGUGGUUAGUGUCACUGCAAGCUUCCCAUCAUUCACUGCCAGCUCUCCGAGCCACUUGUAGGACUGAUGGUACACACCUACGAGGUGGCUAUGAUAGCACAGACGUAUUAGAAACUAAACCAAUGUCACCCAUUAGCCAGGGAAGGGUCAUUCCAGACUGGAAUCACAGGAGUCACCUAGACACACAAAAUCUGGGUUGCCGAAGUAUUGAGUCCAAUCCUUAUAUUCCUAAUCCUUAAGAAUUUUCUCCAAAAUCACCUUUGUUUAAAAAUAAAAACAGAAAUGGAUUUUGGACUUUUAUCAUUGAAGGGAUGUAUCAGAAGCUGGUGUCUGUAUGAACCACACAGGAACUGUUGGACAACCUAUUCCCCCUCUUCAGAGAUCCUGUUUCCCCGUGGAAACACCAAGCGUUACGUGAAGACUUUCAGCACAUUCAUGAAGGCAAGUUGUGCAGCUGCUCUUCAUCUCUGGGGCAAAGUUUCCAUCUCAUUCUACCGAUUCACACAGGCAAGAUUAACAUCAAUGCAGAAUAAGAACUAAACAUGGAAAUCAUCCAAAAAGAGAAAGAGAAGCAGAAAGAUAGAACUGCAACCACACAGUUGGGAUGUGCUUAGCAUUAAGGUGCUGUAGGCUGGCCCCCAAGCUGCUAUGCAUCAGCAGGAUGCAAUCCAAGUCAGUUUACACUACUCAUGGAUCUGGUUUAAAAGAUCUGCAAUUUUUUUUCCUUUUUAUUCACUCUCCCUGUGCAGCAGACCUUGGGCACAGUCAGGUCAUGGCAGAACUCGGUCCUGAGAGUUCAGAAGAAAAUAAAGACAUCAAACACUAGAGGGAGGCAAAAGACUUGCAGUCCAGCAAUCUGCUCCCAGCCCCCUGGGCAAAGCUCCCCGGAGCUUGCAUUGCCACUGAAUUAAAAAACAAAUAAACCUGGGAGGAAAUGACACGGGGGUAUUUUCAGUGACAUUUCCAAAAACCCACUUAACUGAAGAAUGUGUGUUAUGGAGGGAUAUCGCCCUCCAGGUCUGUAGGAAUGAGGCGCCGUGUACUCCGCAGGGGAGGGGAAAAGAGAAGAAUAGAGGACAACGUUCAUGUUGAUGCUCCAUGGGGACUGCUAAAAAGAAAUCAGAAGAAUGCAAUGGAAAACAUUAACCAACAUUGUUAGCAGAUGCACACUACUUAUGGGAUUCAUAGGAAUGAAGAGUGUCGCCUCCAAUUUCAGUCUCUUUUUCAUCUAACUUGAGUCUAUCGCUGACUGUUCGGUUACUGCUACCGAAAGUCUGAUGCAUCUCAGUGUGAUCCUGCAGUGAUGGAAGAAUUAUCACACUGAACCAACUAUGUUCCUGUCCUUUCGAGGUCUCCCAGCAACAGCAAACCUCAGGUGAAAAUCGGAUGCUCAGACAGAAUAGCAUCAACCUCGCUAACCCUGCUGCAGAAACGCUGCUAACUUCUGUCUUGGAACUCAACUGUACUUCAAAGCAACAAUCAAAACUGUGGAGAUGAGUCUGCAAAGAGGUGAAAUGUUAUUGCAAAAGGCAACAGGUUGGGCACUUCAAAUAACUGAGUUACAUCAAGAUGUUUUUGAAGAAUUACCCUUUUCUCCAUCACGUGUUUGCUGUAGAUGGGCCUUUCAGAGGGAAAUUUUCAUGAGACCAUCUCUUGUCUGGGCAAAAAGCUCUGACUCUGAGGGGAAGAAGUGAUGCCUUCCAGGCAAGACCUCCCUUGUUGCUGAACCACAUACACAAAAUGCUGUGGGUUAGAACAUCAGUACUCCAGCUAUGGAAACUCAGCAUUCACACACUUUUUCUGGAGUCUUCUCAUGCCAAUCAUGGAGAACCAGUCACUAUCACACACGUACACUUUUGGCAGUGUCAAGCAUUUUCAGACAUUUUCAUGUGAUGCACACCUCAUCAACAAGUUUAAUGGGUCAAUACCAGCUCCUACUCAUGAUGACUCGAUCUGCUUCCUUUCCUCAGCCGUUUUCUGGUUCUCCUACCUAUUCUUAGCAGCUGCAGCACUUUUUUUUAAAAGAGGAGAGCCACACUUGAAAAAUUUCCCUGCAGCAAUUGUCUUCGGAGCAGCUGAUCCGCAGAGGGCCACAUACACAUCUGAAAACUUGACCUCUAGGAAAGAGUGGAGUUUUUGCUCAGAAACAUCUAUUUGGAUCUUUAUCCUACUUCUCUCAGGUCCCCAGGGUUUCUUCUUCCCCUCAGGAAUGUGUUCUGUUAAUGACUAGCAAGUCCUUCUCCCCUGGUAAGACUCUCCCCAGACUGGGAGGCAGAAAGGAAACGGGGACAAUCUGGACUUCAUUUCAGUCAAGUUGAAGACAAUGAAAAUAUUUAAUUUCAGUGGUCUGCAAAGCAGGCCCUGUGGUUGCUAAAUUAGCUUUUCCUUGCUCCCAGUUGCUUUCCUGGAAAAUCAGACCCAUUGUCUACAGAGACAGAGAAAAGUAACAAGAUGCCCCAGCAACAAAUAACUGACAGCAGAGUUUUUGGCUGGAGUCUGCCAGCAGAGACGCACUGUACCAGCAGAAAGGAACAGGGCUUAAAGCAUUAAUGACACCCAGCAUUAGCUACAGCUAUGCAGAAAGACCUCACUCUGAGAUAAUUGCACAAUUGCAGCUGCCUAUUUUUGCAGACUCCCCCACGUGUAGAGAAGAGCAGAGCAAGCCACACCAGGUUCAAGAGGGAACUGGACAAUUUGUACAUGCAUAGUGUCAGGCAAGUACAAAUAAGCAGGCCUGCAAACACUGCGUUUGUGUUUUUGAAGCCCUCAGAAAAACUCCGUUCAAGCUCCAAAUUCCCCCAACAAAGAACAGAUCUAGAAAUCUGACCCAACAUAUGUCACCUCAGUCCAGAAAAAUGGUGGCAUCUUUGGCUCCCAGCAUCAGCAGUAUAAUCUGAAGACUUUUUUUAUGGCCUGGUGGUCUAGUUUGCCUGUGGCAUUUGAGGAAAAAAAAAAGAGGUAAGUUUAAAUCUUAGAAAAAUGCUGUUGAGUCAGAUGUUCCCAGUGGGACGGGCACCAGCUCCAGGAUGAUCUCACUUUGCCCAAGGUGUCUUUUUUUCAGUAGUUCUCAUUAGGCUUCUCCUGACAUGAAGAAUCUCACUUACAGGUUAUAGCAGGGACUGACCAGUAAAGUCCCACAACGAUACCAGAAGGGGUACUUUAUUGCACAGGGCCCCUGGCUCCACCUGCUCAAGAACUCAUCAUUCAUUCUCAGCAACAGCAGAGCCCACCAAGAAGGAACUAACCCCUGUCCACUUCUCAUUGUCUUCGUGUCCCAACCCUUUUAACAUAUUUGGUUUUUUUUUCCUCAGGUAAAAGCGCAAGCAGCCGUCACAGGGGCCAAUUCACCCCAACAAAGAGGUGAAAUGGCAGGAGACUGGCUGUAGUAUGAUUUCCAACCGGGUAAGAGAGAAGAUAAUACUUUCACCAGAGCUAGACAAGCUAGUCAACAAUCUUAGUUUGCUAAAUGCACUUUUCUGCCUCUUUUUAGUUUCAUAUCCUGCUUUGGUCCUUCAAAUUCUUGCACUUGCACCCUGCACUGCCCAUCAAAGCACUAAUACAAGCUGUUUCCAUCAGUGUCCCUGGAAGAACUCUGUCACACCAGCUGGGAUAGCACUCAGUGGGUGGAAGCCCUCCAAGAGCAGAAUGUGCAGCAGGAACUUUGCAAGGUGUUAGUUCUGCAAGUAAAAGAGGAAUUUGGGAUGGGAGCAAAGUAUAAAACUGUGCAGUUAACUAUUCCAGCAGGAUAUGUUAUCUUCCCUUCUGGAACUGCAGAAUGAGGUACUAUGAAGGAGCUGCCAGCCUUCAUCUCUGAUAGAUGGUUUGAACUCCAUCUACAGCCACAGAUCUGUUCAUUAUACAACACUUUUGGAGAGCUAAAAUUUGUCUGUGGGCCCCAUGACCAAGUCAAAUAAUGAUGUCCCAUGUGGAAACCACACUGAAAUCACUGGAAUAACUCAUGGCUUCCAAUCUGCACUCUGUCAAGCACUUUAGGAUGCUCUGAGAUGAAACACGCUGCACAGCUAUUGGGAAGAAUUAGCUAAUGCUGGCUAAUAGCUUAGAUAGCAUCUCCAAAGAGCAAGAAAUAAAAUCAACCUUAACUUGAAACUCCAUUUUGUUCUCCUUUAUUUCUUGAAUGCUAGGAGAGUUACACAACAAUGAUAAAUGGUAAAAGUUAAGUAACAAUAAUACUUAAAAUUAAUUCUGUUACAACAAAGGAAAAAAAAACCCAAGCUUUAUGGAACAAGUCCUCCUCUCAGUCUUGAAAGGGAGCAGAAUGUGCACAGAGCUGGGAAGAGGGGACUCUAGCUCUAGUCUCAGUUUUAACCCCUUGUAAGGUCACUGCCACACACCCUUUCCUUGUUCCACAAGGGCUUACAUUCCAUACAUUACCCUAAGAGACUUUCACUUCUCUGCCCUUAUUGAGCUAGAGUACUCACUGAGAAAUAACUGGUAUAAAAAUAUUAGGGGUUGUUAUUAUUUUAACUAACAGAACAUAAAAUGCAUGUCUCAGGAAACCAAGGAGACUAUAAUGAGGCAAAGCCUGCCAAGAGCCUGCAAAGUGACAAGUAAAGAGGUCUAUCAAGAUGCGGCAUUCCAUGAGUACCGCGAGAACACUACUUCGAAUAACUCAGGCAAAGCACAUUUACCAAAGUGCUACACACUUAAAGAAUUACUUCUCCAUGAGAGGCAAGUUACUGUCCCAUAUUCGGGAAAGAAAGGCUGAGACGAGAGAAAGAGAGAGAAAACCAACCUGGCUAGAAUUGCACUAAGCCUGUGGCAGAGCGGGAACAGAAGGCAGCAGUCCUGCCCCUAGCCUAGUCGUUGACUGCACGUCAAGCCUUCAAUUUUCACGUGCAAUAUCAGCUACAUAGAUUUCAUGCCAGUGCCUGAGACUGACAAAACACAAAGUGCAUAUGUAAAGGACCUAAAUGGCUUCUCAACAGUAUUUAAGGGCUAAUAGCCUUUGAUAAUUUCUCUGUAUUAAGAAAUAAACAAACAAAACUCUU